GUUCCGUUAGUCUAGUGGUGAAGACGCUUGCUUCACAUAGUUACGCAAGAGGUCGUCGGUUCAAAUCCGACACGGAACA